ensembl:lncRNA
UGGCAGAACUGCUCCCUCGUCUUCCGCUCGGGCAGCUACAGCCGCGCCGAGCUGGGGCUGCGGCUGGCGCGGGGGGGGCACGAGGGGCCCCCCGGCCCCCAGGCCCGCCUGCCCCCCGCCUUCCUCGGUGAGACCCCCCCACGGCCGCGCACGCCUGCGCACAACCGCGUGCAGCGUUGCACCGCGUUGCACGACUGUGCACGGCAUUGCACCCCAUUGCACAGCCGCACACGACUGUGCACAACCGCGUGCAGCAUUGCACCACGUUGCACGACUGUGCACGGCAUUGCACCCCAUUGCACAGCCGCACACGCCUGCGCACAACCGCGUGCAGCGUUGCACCGUGUUGCAUGACUGUGCACGGCAUUGCACCCCAUUGCACAGACGCACAUGACUGUGCACAACCGCGUGCAGCAUUGCACCGCAUUGCACGACUGUGCACGGCAUUGCACCGCAUUGCACAGCCGCACAUGACUGUGCACAACUGCAUGCAGCAUUGCACCACAGUGCACAGCCUCGCACGGCACUGCACAACCGCACACAACCGCGCACGGCRUUGCACGGCUGCGCACAGCCUCAAACCACAUUGCGCCACGUUGCACGGGCUCACACGACUGCGCACCACAUUGCACAACUGCGCACGGCAUUGCGCGGGCUUGCACAACCCCACGCAGCUGCGCACGGUGUUGCACGGCGUUGCACAGGUUCACACAGCCGUGCACGGCUGCGCGCCGCAUUGCGCUGCAUUGCAUGACCACGCGCAGCGUUGUGCAGCAUUGCACGGCAUUGCACAGCCUCGCACAGCUGCCCGUGACUGUGCACUGCGCUGUACGGGGCUGCACCACUGCGCAUGGUGCUGCAUGGCUGUGCGUGGCCUCACGCAGCCCCUCGCAGCCUCGCACGGCCUCACACGGGGCUUUGCACGAGGGUUUGCACGAGGGUUUGCACGAGGGUUUGCACAGGGGCGUUUGCACGAGGGCCCCGCGCUCACGGCGCCGCGCAGAGAACGGGCAGUGGGAGCUGUGCCACCGCGCGGGCCGGCACCACGCGCCGCCGGGGGAGGCCGCGCACGAGGACGUCACCUUCUACCUCGUCAUCCGCCGCAAGCCGCUCUUCUACAUCGUCAACGUCAUCGUGCCCUGCGUGCUCAUCACCGUGCUCGCCAUCUGCGUCUUCUACCUGCCGCCCGACGCCGGGGAGAAGAUGACGCUGUCGCUGUUCGGGCUGCUGACGCUCACCGUGUUCCUGCUGCUGCUGGCGGACAAAGUGCCGGAGACGUCGCUGGCGGCGCCGCUCAUCGUGCGCUACCUGACGGCGACACUGGUGCUGCUGACGCUCUGCGUCAUCCUCAGCGUCGGCGUCCUCAACCUGCACCACCGCUCGCCCGCCAGCCACGCCAUGCCGCCCUGGGUGCGCCGGGUAAGGGCCGCGCCGCCGCCCGGACGCCGGGGCCCCUCCGACGCCUGGGCCCUUCCUUGGGCACCAGGGUCCCUCGGAUGCCAGGGCCCCUGGACACCUGGGCCCCAGACGCCUGGGCCCCUCCCCGGGUUCUUGGGCCCCCUGGACCCCUGGGUUCCCCCCCCCCGGACGCCUGGGUCCCCCGGGCACCUGGGCCCACGGCGCCCCUC